rnacentral:tRNA from 1 species
GUCCCUGUGGCUCAGUUGGUACAGCAUGGUGUUUGCAACGCCAGCAUGGUGUGUGCAACGCCAGGGUUGUGGGUUCGAUUCCUACGGGGGGCC